CCUACGGGCGGCAGCAGUGGGGAAUAUUGGACAAUGGGGGGAACCCUGAUCCAGCCAUGCCGCGUGUGUGAAGAAGGCCCUCGGGUUGUAAAGCACUUUCAGUGAGGAAGAACGCCUGGUGGUUAAUACCCAUCAGGAAAGACAUCACUCACAGAAGAAGCACCGGCUAACUCCGUGCCAGCAGCCGCGGUAAUACGGAGGGUGCGAGCGUUAAUCGGAAUUACUGGGCGUAAAGCGCGCGUAGGUGGCUUGAUAAGCCGGUUGUGAAAGCCCCGGGCUCAACCUGGGAACGGCAUCCGGAACUGUCAAGCUAGAGUGCCGGAGAGGAAGGUAGAAUUCCCGGUGUAGCGGUGAAAUGCGUAGAGAUCGGGAGGAAUACCAGUGGCGAAGGCGGCCUUCUGGACUGACACUGACACUGAGGUGCGAAAGCGUGGGUAGCAAGCAGGAUUAGAUACCCCUGUAGUC
rnacentral:rRNA from 1 species